AAUCUCAGUUCACAGGGAAUACCACGGACUGCAAGGAAGGACAUUGGAACUGGCUUAUGUAUUCCAAUUUUGAUUGCAGUUGAUGAAAGAUGUCGUACUUAGGGAAACAUUAGAUGAAAUUACUUUGAAAUACCCCUAGUUUGUCAACUUCUAGCCAAGAUCCUACAGGUUAGUUGAAUUGGAGAACAGAUGUACACACAGUAGAAAGGAUAUUACCUGAAAACAUCAAAUGACGGGGAAAAAAGAAGACUGCCUAUUUCAGAGAUAUAUAUUUUCACAGUAUCAUCACCCAUAGCACUACGAUCAAAAAUUAAAAAUGACAUUAAGGAAGAAAA